rnacentral:rRNA from 1 species
AGAGUUUGAUCCCGGCUCAGGACGAACGCUGGCGGCGUGCUUAACACAUGCAAGUCGAACGAUGAAGCUCUUCGGAGUGGAUUAGUGGCGAACGGGUGAGUAACACGUGGGAAAUCUGCCCUGCACUCUGGGACAAGCCUUGGAAACGAGGUCUAAUACCGGAUAUGACCUUCCUCUGCAUGGGGGUUGGUGGAAAGCUCCGGCGGUGCAGGAUGGUCCCGCGGCCUAUCAGCUUGUUGGUGGGGUAAUGGCCUACCAAGGCGACGACGGGUAGCCGGCCUGAGAGGGCGACCGGCCACACUGGGACUGAGACACGGCCCAGACUCCUACGGGAGGCAGCAGUGGGGAAUAUUGCACAAUGGGCGAAAGCCUGAUGCAGCGACGCCGCGUGAGGGAUGACGGCCUUCGGGUUGUAAACCUCUUUCAGCAGGGAAGAAGCGCAAGUGACGGUACCUGCAGAAGAAGCACCGGCUAACUACGUGCCAGCAGCCGCGGUAAUACGUAGGGUGCGAGCGUUGUCCGGAAUUAUUGGGCGUAAAGAGCUCGUAGGCGGCUUGUCGCGUCGAGUGUGAAAGCCCGGGGCUUAACCCCGGGUCUGCAUUCGAUACGGGCAGGCUUGAGUGUGGUAGGGGAGAUCGGAAUUCCUGGUGUAGCGGUGAAAUGCGCAGAUAUCAGGAGGAACACCGGUGGCGAAGGCGGAUCUCUGGGCCAUUACUGACGCUGAGGAGCGAAAGCGUGGGGAGCGAACAGGAUUAGAUACCCUGGUAGUCCACGCCGUAAACGGUGGGAACUAGGUGUUGGCGACAUUCCACGUCGUCGGUGCCGCAGCUAACGCAUUAAGUUCCCCGCCUGGGGAGUACGGCCGCAAGGCUAAAACUCAAAGGAAUUGACGG